rnacentral:rRNA from 1 species
AUACGUAGGGAGCGAGCGUUGUCCGGAAUUACUGGGUGUAAAGGGAGCGUAGGCGGGGGUGCAAGUCAGAUGUGAAAUACAUGGGCUCAACCCAUGGGCUGCAUUCGAAACUGUAUUUCUUGAGUGAGGUAGAGGUAAGCGGAAUUCCUGGUGUAGCGGUGAAAUGCGUAGAUAUCAGGAGGAACACCGGUGGCGAAGGCGGCUUACUGGGCUUUUACUGACGCUGAGACUCGAAAGCGUGGGGAGCAAACAGGAUUAGAUACCCUGGUAGUCCACGCUGUAAACGAUGAUUACUAGGUGUGGGGGGACUGACCCCUUCCGUGCCGCAGUUAACACAAUAAGUAAUCCACCUGGGGAGUACGGCCGCAAGGUUGAAACUCAAAUGAAUUGACGGGG